rnacentral:rRNA from 1 species
UUUAACGGCCGCGGUAUUUUGACCGUGCGAAGGUAGCGUAAUCACUUGUCUUUUAAAUGGAGACCAGUAUGAAUGGCACGACGAGGGCUAAACUGUCUCCUUUCCCUAGUCAAUGAAAUUGAUCUGCCCGUGCAGAAGCGGGCAUACACACAUAAGACGAGAAGACCCUAUGGAGCUUUAGACAUCAGAGGAGCCCGCGUUAAUGACACCCCUCACGGGCAUAAACAAAGCGACUAUCUCCCCCACUGUCUUCGGUUGGGGCGACCACGGGGAAUCACAUAACCCCCGAGUGGAACGGGACACCCUCCCCAAAAAAAGCNCCUCAGGCCUAGUCAUCAGAAAAUCUGACCAGCAAGAUCCGGAAAUCCGAUCGACGGACCCAGUUACCCUAGGGAUAACAGCGCAAUCCCCUUUUAGAGCCCACAUCGACAAGGGGGCUUACGACCUCGAUGUUGGAUCAGGACCUCCUAAUGGUGCAGCCGCUAUUA